CUGCAACCAUGGAUAAAAUCCAUCUGCAAUCACUUGUGGUACGCCUGUUCCACUUGUGGAGGUGACCCUGAUGGAAGCUUGAAGUAUUCCAUGCAUCUAUGCUGAAAUACACAGAGAAGAGACUGCACUUCCACUACUCAACAAUGAAAGCUCGCACCCAGCUUGCCGUUAUGGACCACAAUGAAAAUGUUCAGCGUGAACAGGCCUACACCAACACAGGACAAGCACGGUUCAAUGUGGUUU